GGGGGGGGCGGGGGGGGGGGCGGGGGCGGGGGGGUGGAACGGAGGCUUCGGGGUGGGGGGCGGGCGGGUGAGUCACACGUGGGAACGUGCCUUUUGGGUCGGAGUAACUCAGGGAAACUUGUGCUAGUACCGACUUUGCCCUUCGGGGGCAAGAUUUAUCGCCAUUAGAGCGGCCCGCGUCGGAUUAGCUAGUUGGUUAGGUAACGGCUCACCAAGGGGACGAUCAGUAGCUGGUCUGAGAGGAAGACCAGCCACACUGGGACUGAGACACGGCCCAGACUCCUACGGGAGGCAGCAGUGGGGAAUCUUGCGCAAUGGGCGAAAGCCUGACGCGGCCAUGCCGCGUGAAUGAUGAAGGUCUUAGGAUUGUAAAAUUCUUUCACCGGGGACGAUAAUGACGGUACCCGGAGAAGAAGCCCCGGCUAACUUCGUG
rnacentral:rRNA from 1 species